rnacentral:tRNA from 1 species
UAUGGCCGAAUAGUGCAAUGGAUUUAAGUCCCAUACAUAAAAUAAAUUUUUAUUAAAA